UCCCUUUCAUGAAGAUGGCACCACAGGUGGAGAAGGAAGCCCCUUUGAAGACCAAGAAAGCAAUGCUGAAGGCGUCCAGUCACAAGAAAAGGUGUGCACAUCACCUACAUUUGGGUGGCCCAAGACCCUGUGUCUCUGAAGGCACCCCAUAUAUCCUUGAAAGAGCCCCCCUCAGGAGAAACAAGCUUGACCACUCUGUCAUCAGGUUCCUCCUAACUACCAUCUCAGCCAUGAAGAAAGCAGAAGACAGUAAUAAACUUGUGUUCAUCGUGGAUGUCAAGGCCAAAAGCAUCAGAUCAAACAGGCUGUGAAGAGGCUGUAUGACAUUGACAUGGCCAAGGUCAACACUCUGAUCAGGCCCAAAGGAGAAAGGAAGGCAUAUGUUCGACUGGCUCCUGACUAUGAUGUUUUGGAUGUUGUCCACAAAAUUGGGAUCAUCUAAACUGAGUCCAGCUGGCUAAAUCUAAAUCCAAAUAUUUUCACCAUAAAAAGAAA
rnacentral:lncRNA from 1 species